GUAGCUUGACAUUGGGUCUUGGUACUACAUGUACAGGAUAGGUGGGAGGCUUUGAAACCAGGACGCCAGUUUUGGCGGAGCCAUCCUUGGGAUACCACCCUUGUAGUACUGGGACUCUAACCAUAGGCCAUGAAUCUGGUCUUGGGACACUGUCAGGUGGGCAGUUUGACUGGGGCGGUCGCCUCCCAAAAGGUAACGGAGGCGCUCAAAGGUUCUCUCAGUACGGUCGGAAAUCGUACGUAGAGUGUAAAGGCAAAAGAGAGCUUGAUUGCAAGACAUACAGGUCGAGCAAGGAUGAAAAUCGGACUUAGUGAUCCGGUGGUUCUGCGUGGAAGGGCCAUCGCUCAACGGAUAAAAGCUACCCUGGGGAUAACAGGCUUAUCUCCCCCAAGAGUCCACAUCGACGGGGAGGUUUGGCACCUCGAUGUCGGCUCAUCACAUCCUGGGGCUGUAGUAGGUCCCAAGGGUUGGGCUGUUCGCCCAUUAAAGUGGUACGCGAGCUGGGUUCAGAACGUCGUGAGACAGUUCGGUCCCUAUCCGUCGCAGGCGUAGGAAAUUUGAGAAGACCUGUCCUUAGUACGAGAGGACCGGGAUGGACG
rnacentral:rRNA from 1 species